rnacentral:rRNA from 1 species
AGCGUACACGGUGGAUGCCCUGGCAGUCAGAGGCGAUGAAGGACGUGCUAAUCUGCGAUAAGCGUCGGUAAGGUGAUAUGAACCGUUAUAACCGGCGAUUUCCGAAUGGGGAAACCCAGUGUGUUUCGACACACUAUCAUUAACUGAAUCCAUAGGUUAAUGAGGCGAACCGGGGGAACUGAAACAUCUAAGUACCCCGAGGAAAAGAAAUCAACCGAGAUUCCCCCAGUAGCGGCGAGCGAACGGGGAGGAGCCCAGAGCCUGAAUCAGUGUGUGUGUUAGUGGAAGCGUCUGGAAAGGCGCGCGAUACAGGGUGACAGCCCCGUACACAAAAAUGCACAUAUUGUGAGCUCGAUGAGUAGGGCGGGACACGUGGUAUCCUGUCUGAAUAUGGGGGGACCAUCCUCCAAGGCUAAAUACUCCUGACUGACCGAUAGUGAACCAGUACCGUGAGGGAAAGGCGAAAAGAACCCCGGCGAGGGGAGUGAAAAAGAACCUGAAACCGUGUACGUACAAGCAGUGGGAGCCUCUUUAUGGGGUGACUGCGUACCUUUUGUAUAAUGGGUCAGCGACUUAUAUUCUGUAGCAAGGUUAACCGAAUAGGGGAGCCGAAGGGAAACCGAGUCUUAACUGGGCGUUAAGUUGCAGGGUAUAGACCCGAAACCCGGUGAUCUAGCCAUGGGCAGGUUGAAGGUUGGGUAACACUAACUGGAGGACCGAACCGACUAAUGUUGAAAAAUUAGCGGAUGACUUGUGGCUGGGGGUGAAAGGCCAAUCAAACCGGGAGAUAGCUGGUUCUCCCCGAAAGCUAUUUAGGUAGCGCCUCGUGAAUUCAUCUCCGGGGGUAGAGCACUGUUUCGGCAAGGGGGUCAUCCCGACUUACCAACCCGAUGCAAACUGCGAAUACCGGAGAAUGUUAUCACGGGAGACACACGGCGGGUGCUAACGUCCGUCGUGAAGAGGGAAACAACCCAGACCGCCAGCUAAGGUCCCAAAGUCAUGGUUAAGUGGGAAACGAUGUGGGAAGGCCCAGACAGCCAGGAUGUUGGCUUAGAAGCAGCCAUCAUUUAAAGAAAGCGUAAUAGCUCACUGGUCGAGUCGGCCUGCGCGGAAGAUGUAACGGGGCUAAACCAUGCACCGAAGCUGCGGCAGCGACGCUUAUGCGUUGUUGGGUAGGGGAGCGUUCUGUAAGCCUGUGAAGGUGUACUGUGAGGUAUGCUGGAGGUAUCAGAAGUGCGAAUGCUGACAUAAGUAACGAUAAAGCGGGUGAAAAGCCCGCUCGCCGGAAGACCAAGGGUUCCUGUCCAACGUUAAUCGGGGCAGGGUGAGUCGACCCCUAAGGCGAGGCCGAAAGGCGUAGUCGAUGGGAAACAGGUUAAUAUUCCUGUACUUGGUGUUACUGCGAAGGGGGGACGGAGAAGGCUAUGUUGGCCGGGCGACGGUUGUCCCGGUUUAAGCGUGUAGGCUGGUUUUCCAGGCAAAUCCGGAAAAUCAAGGCUGAGGCGUGAUGACGAGGCACUACGGUGCUGAAGCAACAAAUGCCCUGCUUCCAGGAAAAGCCUCUAAGCAUCAGGUAACAUCAAAUCGUACCCCAAACCGACACAGGUGGUCAGGUAGAGAAUACCAAGGCGCUUGAGAGAACUCGGGUGAAGGAACUAGGCAAAAUGGUGCCGUAACUUCGGGAGAAGGCACGCUGAUAUGUAGGUGAAGCGACUUGCUCGUGGAGCUGAAAUCAGUCGAAGAUACCAGCUGGCUGCAACUGUUUAUUAAAAACACAGCACUGUGCAAACACGAAAGUGGACGUAUACGGUGUGACGCCUGCCCGGUGCCGGAAGGUUAAUUGAUGGGGUUAGCGGUAACGCGAAGCUCUUGAUCGAAGCCCCGGUAAACGGCGGCCGUAACUAUAACGGUCCUAAGGUAGCGAAAUUCCUUGUCGGGUAAGUUCCGACCUGCACGAAUGGCGUAAUGAUGGCCAGGCUGUCUCCACCCGAGACUCAGUGAAAUUGAACUCGCUGUGAAGAUGCAGUGUACCCGCGGCAAGACGGAAAGACCCCGUGAACCUUUACUAUAGCUUGACACUGAACAUUGAGCCUUGAUGUGUAGGAUAGGUGGGAGGCUUUGAAGUGUGGACGCCAGUCUGCAUGGAGCCGACCUUGAAAUACCACCCUUUAAUGUUUGAUGUUCUAACGUUGGCCCCUUAUCGGGGUUGCGGACAGUGUCUGGUGGGUAGUUUGACUGGGGCGGUCUCCUCCUAAAGAGUAACGGAGGAGCACGAAGGUUGGCUAAUCCUGGUCGGACAUCAGGAGGUUAGUGCAAUGGCAUAAGCCAGCUUGACUGCGAGCGUGACGGCGCGAGCAGGUGCGAAAGCAGGUCAUAGUGAUCCGGUGGUUCUGAAUGGAAGGGCCAUCGCUCAACGGAUAAAAGGUACUCCGGGGAUAACAGGCUGAUACCGCCCAAGAGUUCAUAUCGACGGCGGUGUUUGGCACCUCGAUGUCGGCUCAUCACAUCCUGGGGCUGAAGUAGGUCCCAAGGGUAUGGCUGUUCGCCAUUUAAAGUGGUACGCGAGCUGGGUUUAGAACGUCGUGAGACAGUUCGGUCCCUAUCUGCCGUGGGCGCUGGAGAACUGAGGGGGGCUGCUCCUAGUACGAGAGGACCGGAGUGGACGCAUCACUGGUGUUCGGGUUGUCAUGCCAAUGGCACUGCCCGGUAGCUAAAUGCGGAAGAGAUAAGUGCUGAAAGCAUCUAAGCACGAAACUUGCCCCGAGAUGAGUUCU